GAUGAACGCUGGCGGCGUGCCUAACACAUGCAAGUCGAGCGAGACGGUUAUGAAAGAUCCUUCGGGUGAUAGAUUAACUAGAAAGCGGCGGACGGGUGAGUAACGCGUGAGUAACCUGCCCCAUACACAGGGAUAGCCAUUGGAAACGAUGAUUAAUACCUGAUAACACAUAUUUAACACAUGUUAAUUAUGUCAAAGAUUUAUCGGUAUGGGAUGGACUCGCGUCUGAUUAGCUAGUUGGUAAGGUAACGGCUUACCAAGGCGACGAUCAGUAGCCGACCUGAGAGGGUGAUCGGCCACACUGGAACUGAGACACGGUCCAG
rnacentral:rRNA from 1 species